AUUACAUUAGAUAAUAAUAUCAAAAGAGCAGGCACAUUAGCUGCAUUUCUUUAGAUGAAGGGAUGACUAGGAAACUGAGCCCAGUACAAUCAGCUAGCUUCAGUGAAAACGUUAAAUCCAGUUAUAGGAUGGAACAAGGAAAAAAAGGGAGAGAAAAUGAGGUUCAUCUGAUAGUAAUAGAUCCAUAAGACCACUGCGUAAACACAAAUUUGUUACAUAGAAUUGAUAUGCUCAGGGAGCCUUGAAAGACAACCACAUGGAGCACUCCAGGUUAGUGUCGUAGCGGUGCGGCAGAAAAGUACAAUUUUUU